rnacentral:rRNA from 1 species
CAGUCAUACCGGCGGGUAAUCAGCCUUUCGGGUGCGAUUAUGUGGGGCUUGAGGAGUUAAUCACCCUCAUCUUUGCAUAUUUGUGCACUUUGGGUGUACUUGCUCGUGUGGUAGGUUAACAUCAAUUUUAGUCAUCAUAAAAUGGCUGGAGGAAUGUAGCUUCGAUCUUGUAUUGAAGUGUUAUAGCCUUCGGUAGAUGUGAUGAUUGGGAUUGAGGAUUGCAACGGAUACCCUUCGGGGCUACCUGUCUGAUCUCUGAAAGUUGCUCUGGUGCCGAAAGCGUGCUUACGGUCAUCAAAGUUGACGUUCAAUAGGUUAGAACGGGAUAAA